CAGGCUAGGAGUUCCUUCCUACGUUUUUGUGUCUGCCAUAUGUGGUUUGCCUUGUACUGUUUACCUAACAGUGUCAACAGUAGAACAUAUAUUUUACUAUGUUUGAGAAACAUAUCCUUAGAUCGUGGGUCCAUGUUCAUACGUUUAUAGAGGGAGGAUCCAGGGAUUUUUCUAAAAGGGGUUGGUCUAAAUACGGGAAGGCGCCUUUUUACAGUAUGUUUCUUUUGUCUCAGAAGAGGGAUUGCAGCCCUCCGCCAAGACCCGCUGCUGAUAUAACAUUAUUCCCUGGCCAAAGAACACAAAAGAAACAUAAGAAAACCAACAUAAACGCUUGCUACGCAGGCUACUUGCAAGAGAUUUCAUCAGUACUUACUUGAGACAAGUGACGCGUUUGUGGCCACAAGCAGAGACGAUUUUAAAAAGAACACCGACAGCUCCUGCUUUGCCGAGAAUAGUGCAGUUCACGGCUGAAAAGAGUUAUGAUUAAGGAUGAGAUACGCCUCGCAAUCGGCCGCGACUAUCACUCGAUCAAAAUAUACCGUAAUGUACCAUAAUGAGAGAUCGCGCGAAUGCGUCGGCGCUGAAAUGACCAUGUUGAUUACAACCAGGCCAAACUGAUGUGCACGGGAUACGACUAGAAAGAGAGAGGCUUCUGCGGGAUUCAUGGCGUGGGUUUAGUUUAUAGGGAGCUGUGGGGCAGAGGGUAUUGCCCGGAUUUUUUUGAUCGGAUCACAGUUGGCAGGACGCGUCUAGUAUCUUGCGCUGAUUGUCUGGAGUGCCAGUUUUUCUAGGGAUCGGAUAAGCCCGAUCGCAAAUCUGUAGGAGAUCUUUACGAUGUUUGCGUUUGACGAAGAGAGUAAUUAAGCACAAACACAUGGUCUUUAGGAGUGUGAGUUUGUAGGGGCACUUUCAAGGAGCAGUAAAAGUGAAUUAACACACUUCAUGACGACAAACACGAAGAGUAUUUAUGACUGUUGUUGACCUGAAGGUCAGUUCACAAUGAAAUCUAAAGAAAUUAUAUAAUUUAACAAACGGGUUAUCAGCGACAUCUUCGUAAUUCCAUAGAAUUACAGAGUGUAAUAAUUAUUUUUCAUAACUUUUUCCAGGGAGAUGACAAUCAGCCCUUACUUUGAUAAAUCAAUACUUGUAAAUUGUAAACACGGAAAACGUUUGUUCGUCGUUCAAUUCCACUCAGAGCUAAUCCUCGAAAAAAAGAUUGAGUAAGCAAAGAUCUUUAGAAAAAAAAAAUCUCAAACAAGCUAUACUUGGGUAAAAUGCCCAGGGGAAAUCUAGAGAAAAAAAUCUUGAACAAGCUUUACUUAGGUAAAAUGUACAGGGGAGAUCUAGAGAAAAAUAUCUCGAACAAGCUAUACUUGGGUAAAGGCACAUAUAUCCAGCAUAAAAAAAAUCGUUACCUCCCCGUAAUAAAUCAAAUGGUCCGUCCUUUAUUGAGGGGGUGUUACAUGGUGUCAUCUAUGGGUGUUGUCUGUGGGUGUACUUCACGGGUGUCAUUAGGGGGUGUUGUGUGGUGUCGUAUGUGGGUGUCAUCUAUGGGUGUUGUCUGUGGGUGUACUUCACGGGUGUCAUUAGGAGGUGUUGUGUGGUGUCAUUAAUGGGUGUCAUCUAUGGGUGUUGUCUGUGGGUGUACUUCGCGGGUGUCAUUAGUGGGUGUUGUGUGGUGUCAUCAGUGGGUGUCAUCUAUGGGUGUUGUCUGUGGGUGUACUUCGCGGGUGUCAUUAUUGGGUGUUGUGUGGUGUCAUUAAUGGGUGUCAUCUAUGGGUGUUGUCUGUGGGUGUACUUCACGGGUGUCAUUAGGGGGUGUUGUGUGGUGUCAUCAGUGGGUGUCAUCUAUAGGUGUGGUCUGUGGGUGUACUUCACGGGUGUCAUUAGGGGAUGUUGUGUGGUGUCAUUAAUGGGUGUCAUCUAUGGGUGUUGUCUGUGGGUGUACUUCGCGGGUGUCAUUAGGAGGUGUUGUGUGGUGUCGUUAAUGGGUGUCAUCUAUGGGUGUGGUCUGUAGGUGUACUUCGCGGGUGUCAUUAGUGGGUGUUGUGUGGUGUCGUUAGUGGGUGUCAUCUAUGGGUGUGGUCUGUGGGUGUACUUCACAGGUGUCAUUAGUGGGUGUUGUGUGGUGUCAUCAGUGGGUGUCAUCUAUGGGUGUGGUCUGUGGGUGUACUUCACGGGUGUCAUUAGUGGGUGUUGUGUGGUGUCAUCAGUGGGUGUCAUCUAUUGGUGUGGUCUGUAGGUGUACUUUACAGGCGUCAUUAGGAGGUGUUGUGUGGUGUUAUCAGUGGGUGUUAUCUAUGGGUGUGGUCUGUAGGUGUACUUCACGGGUGUCAUUAGGGGGUGUUGUGUGGUGUCAUCAGUGGGUGUCAUCUAUGGGUGUGGUCUGUACGUGUACUUUACGGGUGUCAUUAGGGGGUGUUGUGUGGUGUCGUUAGUGGGUGUCAUCUAUGGGUGUGGUCUGUACGUGUACUUUACGGGUGUCAUUAGGGGGUGUUGUGUGGUGUCGUUAGUGGGUGUCAUUUAUGGGUGUGGUCUGUACAUGUACUUUACGGGUGUCAUUAGUGGGUGUUGUGUGGUGUCGUUAGUGGGUGUCAUCUAUGGGUGUGGUCUGUAGGUGUACUUCGCGGAUGUCAUUAGGGGGUGUUGUGUGGUGUCGUUAGUGGGUGUCAUCUAUGGGUGUGGUCUGUGGGUGUACUUCACAGGUGUCAUUAGUGGGUGUUGUGUGGUGUCGUAUGUGGGUGUCAUCUAUGGGUGUGGUCUGUGGGUGUACUUCACGGGUGUCAUUAGUGGGUGUUGUGUGGUGUCAUCAGUGGGUGUCAUCUAUGGGUGUUGUCUGUGGGUGUACUUCGCGGGUGUCAUUGGGUGUUGUGUGGUGUCGUUAGUGGGUGUCAUCUAUGGGUGUGGUCUGUAGGUGUACUUCGCGGAUGUCAUUAGUGGGUGUUGUGUGGUGUCAUCAGUGGGUGUCAUCUAUGGGUGUGGUCUGUGGGUGUACUUCACAGGUGUCAUUAGGAGGUGUUGUGUGGUGUCGUUAGUGGGUGUCAUCUAUGGGUGUGGUCUGUAGGUGUCAUCUAUGGGUGUGGUCUGUGGGUGUACUUCGCGGGUGUCCAUAGGAGGUGUUGUGUGGUGUCAUCAGUAGGUGUCAUCUAUGGGUGUGGUCUGUAGGUGUCAACUAUGGGUGCAUGUGUGCGUGGGUUAGAGUGUGUUAACUGUGUGGGAGCAAAACUGAUGUAGCAAGUUGCUGAAUCGCACAAGUUCUAUGGUAUGAAUGGUCUCAAUGGGUUACCGUUUACCAAUUACUGUUCUAUGGUAUGAAUGAUCUCAAUGGGUUACCGUUGGGAGAGUACUGUUCUAUGGUAUGAAUGAUCUCAAUGGGUUACUGUUUGCCAAGUACUUUUCUAUGUAAUAAAUGAUCUCAAUGGGUUACCAUU